ACAACUUGAUUCAACUCAACCGUCGCCGCCUCCAUGUUAAAAGCCUACACGCCCUUGCCAUCGAUAGCAAGCGUGGCCGCCUGCUUGCGCCUCCACUCUGGGAGCUGGCCGCUCCCAAUUUACUUCUCCCCGAAGACAUGUCUCUUAAUAUGACAGGUUCAUCUCAAAAUUUUGCUCACACCCACCCGAUUUGAUUUGAUUUUGUUGGAUUGUACCUGCCGCUUGGUCAAAUCCCUCCGAAUUGAUUGUAUUAUGCGUGGCUGAGACCCUCCCCUGAUCGGAAUCUCAACAGCACCUUGAGCCGCCCCUUCUCUUCUCCAAACAUCUCUCUCCACCAUAAGAUGGGAUGGAUCUGGUGAUGCCAUCUUCACCUCCGGUGUAUAAUUGAGGUUAGUCCAGAACUCCUGAUUCCCCCAAUCCCAGCAGUUGUAUUUCUGCUUAACAACCAGUAUGUUCUACAUCUGGACUAUUAUUAUUUUUACAUGUCUCUCGGGAGUAUUUUCAUGUACCUUUGCACUUCCUUUUGAUGGAAACUCGGAAGUUUAAAAUGCAGAAAAAAGGUCUGCCAAACUAUACAUACAGAAAGGAAUCUAAGACUUGGCUGUUUAUGCACAGUACACGGAAGGUGUGAUAUUUCUCAACAUCGCACAAUCUCCAUCCAAAAAAGUCUUACAUCAUGUAAGGGAAGUAGUCUCUUCAUGGAAUUCUGUAGGUUUAGACGAUGAUGUGGCAAGAGAUAUAUACACGUUGAUGAUCUGACUUCAAACUUGAUCUUGAGUGUAGAAGUGACAUUGGAUAAGUAAUAUUAAGUUCCAAAGAAAAGAUCAAAUGGACAAUGUAACCUGGUGUAGUUUUCCACUACCAAUAUAUAUUUGAAUUUAUCAUAUUAUGUAAGUCUUGCAUAUUCUUUUGUUUCUGUAUGAAGAAUUACUAGGCAUGAACUUUUUCGUACAAAAAGUACAUUUGUCCCUAAACCUUUGAUAUGAAUUCCACUUAAAGUACUAAGAGCUUUUGAUUUAUCUCUUUGAUUUUGCCUUCUACAUACCUAGCUCUAAUAACCAAUUUGGCUGUUGAGUAACAAUUUGUCAUCUUUACCACUUUUGUGCGAGAUUAUAUUCUUAACAUGAUAUUUUGCUUCAUGUACAGUUUCUCGAGUUGAUAUGUCAUGUGUGUA